AAAUGGCGGUGAUGAUAAACAGUCUCAGGAAACGUGCCAGUUCUGCUUCUGAGAAUUCAUAACUGAAAAACUUUGUUUUAUAUAUCUGAGCCAUAC